CAGUCGCCGCGGGAAUACAGAGGGUGCGAGCGUUAAUCGGAUUUACUGGGCGUAAAGCGUGCGUAGGCGGCUUUUUAAGUCGGAUGUGAAAUCCCUGAGCUUAACUUAGGAAUUGCAUUCGAUACUGGGAAGCUAGAGUAUGGGAGAGGAUGGUAGAAUUCCAGGUGUAGCGGUGAAAUGCGUAGAGAUCUGGAGGAAUACCGAUGGCGAAGGCAGCCAUCUGGCCUAAUACUGACGCUGAGGUACGAAAGCAUGGGGAGCAAACAGGAUUAGAUACCCGGGUAGUCCCUGUCUCUUAUAA
rnacentral:rRNA from 1 species